GGCUUGNCCUUUACCAUGCCAGUCGAACGGCAGCACGGGGGCAACCCUGGUGGCGAGUGGCGAACGGGUGAGUAAUACAUCGGAACGUGUCCUGUAGUGGGGGAUAGCCCGGCGAAAGCCGGAUUAAUACCGCAUACGAUCUGCGGAUGAAAGCGGGGGCUCCUUCGGGACCUCGCGCUGCAGGGGCGGCCGAUGGCAGAUUAGCUAGUUGGUGGGGUAAAGGCCUACCAAGGCGACGAUCUGUAGCUGGUCUGAGAGGACGACCAGCCACACUGGGACUGAGACACGGCCCAGACUCCUACGGGAGGCAGCAGUGGGGAAUUUUGGACAAUGGGCGAAAGCCUGAUCCAGCAAUGCCGCGUGUGUGAAGAAGGCCUUCGGGUUGUAAAGCACUUUUGUCCGGAAAGAAAACCUCUUGGUUAAUACCCGAGGGGGAUGACGGUACCGGAAGAAUAAGCACCGGCUAACUACGUGCCAGCAGCCGCGGUAAUACGUAGGGUGCAAGCGUUAAUCGGAAUUACUGGGCGUAAAGCGUGCGCAGGCGGUUCGCUAAGACAGAUGUGAAAUCCCCGGGCUUAACCUGGGAACUGCAUUUGUGACUGGCGGGCUAGAGUAUGGCAGAGGGGGGUAGAAUUCCACGUGUAGCAGUGAAAUGCGUAGAGAUGUGGAGGAAUACCGAUGGCGAAGGCAGCCCCCUGGGCCAAUACUGACGCUCAUGCACGAAAGCGUGGGGAGCAAACAGGAUUAGAUACCCUGGUAGUCCACGCCCUAAACGAUGUCAACUAGUUGUCGGGUCUUCAUUGACUUGGUAACGUAGCUAACGCGUGAAGUUGACCGCCUGGGGAGUACGGUCGCAAGAUUAAAACUCAAAGGAAUUGACGGGGACCCGCACAGCGGUGGAUGAUGUGGAUUAAUUCGAUGCACGCGAAAACCUUACCUACCCU
rnacentral:rRNA from 1 species